rnacentral:lncRNA from 1 species
UGGCAUCGGUGAGCUCCAGGGCCGCCAGGACAUGGAGAAAGCCAUGGAAAAUAUGCUGCCUACUCUCGUCCCUUCCUGCAGGAUCUUGGCGUGGCUGCAGAGGGAGAGAUGGGCCCUCUGGGGAGAGGUAGCUCCGGGCCAGCUAGAGUGGCUGCUGACAGAUGGCUUGAUAAUGAUCAAAAGGUGCACCUCCAAGGUCCUCAAAGUCCCGAAGACCUGUUAUUCAGAGAUUUGAGAUUUGCACAAACCCAGCUCAGCGGCAAGUCCUCGCGUAGCUUGGUCAGUCAAGCAGAGAGGAGCCAAAACUUUGGAAAGAAUCAUCUCAGAAAACCAGCUGGAGAGACUGUUGCUUUUUAGGAAUAAGGCUCUGGUCCUUUAUCAUGCUAAACUGGAAGAAUGUUUCUCCUUUCCUAAUAAAGGACACCUCCCCACCCCACUGCUCCUGAUGUUUG